CAGUCUUUCCACCCUUUUCUGCACUGUUGUAGAAAUCACACAAAUUAUGAUGACAACAACAACAGCUAUACUGUGAUCUACGUGUUUUUAACUGCUUUCUCAGUAGCCUGAAGCCUUUUCUGCAGGGCACAGCUUGUUCUAUGUACAGGCGCUGAAUGGACCGUCACGCUGCGCUGCACUGCACUCCCAGCCGUCUCCUCACUACGCACCCUUCUCGAAUAUCUGAGGGAUGGUGUGGAUUGCGCUUGUUUUGGCAAAGGAAACUCACCCUGCCAAGUGAAAGCAAAGCUUGCCCACCAAUGCACAGAGUAUUUCACUGUCUAAAGAAAUUGUCUCAUCAAAAAGGCUGA
rnacentral:lncRNA from 1 species